AUACUUACUUGGCAGGGGAGAUGCCAUGAUCAGGAACGUGGUUUUUCCAGAUGGAGGCUUAUCCCUUGCACUUGGGAUGUGCUGACCCCUGUGAUUUCCCCAAAACUGGAAUACUCGACUGCAUAAUUUGUGUUAGUGGGGACUGUGUUCACACUCUCCCCU